GCUCAUGCUUUAAUUUCCAAGAAUUUAACCACCAACUGAAACUAUGUUGAUAUACAGAAUACAUGGUGCCACCUCCAAACAUGUUGAAGUCAUUGAUCCCUUCUGCCUCUGUUGGACAUAUUGGUGUUUAUGAUUCUAAUUAUGAUAUUCCUAGUACAUUUGAAAUCCAUGAUGAUGCCCAUCAUAUUUGUACCAGUGGAUACCAUAUUGUGUUUUGUGAUCUCUCCUGCUGUCUUUACCUUGUUAAAUUAAAUGUUCUCUCACCAACAUGAAGAAUAUUAAGUUCCAAGAUUUAACCAUUGAAAUGUUAAGUUCCAAGAUUUCACUAAUCUUGGAAACUAAUUUUAUAUCCAUAAUUCUUGGUGUCAUCUGAAUCUAUGAUCAUUUUAUUGAUCCCUCUUGUCUCUGUUAACCAUGUUGAUGCCUAUGAUCAGAACUUCCAUGCUAUUCUUAUUCCUUCUGGAAGCCAUGUUGAUUUCCCUGCUCCUUGUUACCUCUGGAUAACGUCUUGAUAUUGGUGACCUGUGUGGUCAAUUAUGACCAUAUUAAGAUAAAUUUUCUGUUAUUCCAACAUGAACAAAGUAAAUUUCCAAGAAUUCAACUAUCAUCUGAAACUAAGUUAAUAUCCAUGAUUCAUGCUGCUGUCUAUAAACAUGUUGAUGCCAUUGUUUCCUGCUCCCUCUUAACGGUUUUGAUGUCCAUGAUCAGACAUUCCAUGGUAUUCCUACUAUUUCUGGGAGGCAUGUUAAUGCCUGUAGUUCUUCUUGCUGCUCAAUAUGAAGUUUAUAUCUAUCUUUCCUGCCAUUGUUUUGUGAAUGAGAAAAAUGUUAAUUUUCAAGAUUUAAUGUGCAGUCUGAAAAUAAGUUGAUAUCUAUGAUUCAUGCUGCCACCUGCAACCAUGUUGAUGUCAUUGAUCCAACUCUGUUAAUCAAAUUGAUGUCUAACAUAGGCCAUCAUGCUAUUCCUGCUUCUUCUGGAAGCCAUGUAGAUGCCUGUGGUCCUUCUUAACCACUACAUACAUUGUUGAUGUCCAAUAACUCUCCUGCCCCUUGUGACUGCAAUAAAUUAUUGUUCUGUGUUACCAACAUGCAGAAUGUUAAUUUGCAAGAUUUAACCCACCAUCCAAAUGUAAGAUGAAAUCCAUAAUUCAUGAUGCCACCUGAAACCAUGUUGAUGCCAUUGAUCCCAUGUGCCUCUGUUAACCAAAUUGAUGUCCAUUAUUGAAUGACCUACCAUGCUCUUACUACUAUUUCUGGAAGCCUUGUUGAUGCUUGUGGUCUUUCUUACUGUAGAUAUGACAUUGAUGUCCAUAUCCAUGGAGAUAUUCUGCUACCUGAGACCCUAUUGAUGCAAGAGUUCUGUGCUGCCAACGUGAUGAAUGUUAAUUGCCAUGAUCUCAGCUACCAUCUGAAACUGGUGAUAUUUACAUGCUACCACCUGCAACCUUGUUGAUGACAUUGAUACCUGCUGUUCUCUUUAUCAUGUUCAUGAGCUUUCCUAUGCUAUUCCUAUUGGUUUGAAGUCCAUGUUGAUGCCUUAUGUUACGUUUUGCUCCUGGAUAAGGUGUUGAUGUUGAUGUCCAUGUUCUGUCCUGCCACCUGAGACCAAACUGAGGAAAUCAUGUUGAUGUCACUGUUCUUUGCUGCAUCUUCUAAACAUUGUUGAUGUUCAUCAUCCAACCUACUGUCCAAACUUUGUUGAUGUUACUGAUCUAUGUUGUAGCUGUCAACCAUGUUGAGGUUACUGAACUUUGCUACCACCUGUAACCAUAUUGAUGUCUGCAGUGUACAGUGUCAUCAGAAACAGUGUUGAAGUCAUUUGUCCAUACUGCUACCUUAGACCCAGUUCAAGCAACCAUGUUGAUGUGAGUGAUUCUCGCUGCCUCUCUUAACCUUGCUGAUGUCCAUGAUUCGACCUGUCAUCUGAAACUUUGUUGAUGUCACUGAUCUUUGCUGUUGCUGUCAAUCAUGUUGAUGCUACUGAAACUUGCUUCCACUUGUAACCAUACUGCUGUCUCUAGUCUGUUAUCAUCUGUGACAAUUCUGAAAUCAAUGGUAUAUACUACCACCUGAGACCCACUUCAGGAAACCAACCAUGUUGAUGUCACUGAUCUUUGUUCCCUGUUUUGACCAUGUGGAUGUCCAUUAUCUGACUUAACAUCUGAAAUUAUGUUGAUGUCACUCAUUCAUGCUGCUGCUGAUAACCAUGUUUAUGGCCAUAGUCUUUGUUGGAAUCUUAGACCUUGUGAAUGUCCAUUGUCCAUGUUGCCACCUGAGUCCAUGAUGAUGACCAUGAUGACUUUAGUCUGUGCUGCUGUCAGCCAUAAUGUCGAUGUCUCUGAUUGGUGCUGCUACUGGGGACUAGGUCAAUAUGAAUGAUCUGAGCUGCCAACAGAAACUAUUUUGAUAUCAUUAAGCCAUCCUUGUGCUGGAGACCAUGUUGAAAUCUUUGUCCUUGAUGCCCUCAAAUACUAUGUUUAUGUUCAUGCUCUGGGUUGCAUGCUGAAGACCAGUUGGAUAUCCAUGACCCAGCUGCUGAUGGAGACUGUGUCGAUGUCUGUGGUCAGUACUGCCACAAGAAGACAUCCUGAUAGUGAUCUGUGAUGCCUCCCUCAAACAUGUUAUGUUGGUGAUCUGUGUUGAUGUCCUGGACCAGAUGGAUGGCAGUUAUCCAAGCUGUCACCAGAAAUCUUGUGGACCAUGAUCUGUGCUGCUCCUGGAAACCCUGUAGAAGUCUAUGAUUCAUUCUGCUGCUGGAAACCAUGUGGAAGGCCUUGAUCUGUACUUCCACUGACUUUUAUGGGCAAGGAACUUCUUUUGCAGUAGUAUCAAUGACUGUAGAAUCAUAACUGAAAUUCAGACAGACAUUGAAGUCUUCUGUGCCACCAUCCCACCUAAAAAGAAAAUCUAGACAGGAUCUUAUUGGAGAGUUUUUGAAAGUUGUAAUAAAAAUACUUAACUGUAGCUCUUCACAGUUGAUGGCUUCAGGCAGGGGUUGGGAAAGAACUCCUUUUUAAAGGGCUGGCUACUGCAAGUUUGCCCAUGCUCCAAUGAGUAUAAGGAGAACACCAAUUGGACUUGUUAUAUUGUAUUUUUUCUAUUCUGGGGGAGGAUGCCACAAGGGUGAGAGGUGGACCUGGGAGGAACGGCAAUCAAGUGUGAUUGAGGUAUGUUGUAUGACAUUCUCAAAUGAUUAAUAAAAUAUUAGGUUGGGAAAAUAAAAAAAGUGUGAAAUAGUA